rnacentral:rRNA from 1 species
GAUGAACGCUAGCUACAGGCUUAACACAUGCAAGUCGAGGGGCAUCAGUUUGGUUUGCUUGCAAACCAAAGCUGGCGACCGGCGCACGGGUGAGUAACGCGUAUCCAACCUGCCUCAUACUCGGGGAUAGCCUUUCGAAAGAAAGAUUAAUAUCCGAUAGCAUAUAUUUCCCGCAUGGGUUUUAUAUUAAAGAAAUUCGGUAUGAGAUGGGGAUGCGUUCCAUUAGUUUGUUGGCGGGGUAACGGCCCACCAAGACUACGAUGGAUAGGGGUUCUGAGAGGAAGGUCCCCCACAUUGGAACUGAGACACGGUCCAAACUCCUACGGGAGGCAGCAGUGAGGAAUAUUGGUCAAUGGACGCGAGUCUGAACCAGCCAAGUAGCGUGAAGGAUGACUGCCCUAUGGGUUGUAAACUUCUUUUAUAUGGGAAUAAAGUGGUCCACGUGUGGAUUUUUGUAUGUACCAUAUGAAUAAGGAUCGGCUAACUCCGUGCCAGCAGCCGCGGUAAUACGGAGGAUCCGAGCGUUAUCCGGAUUUAUUGGGUUUAAAGGGAGCGUAGGCGGAUUGUUAAGUCAGUUGUGAAAGUUUGCGGCUCAACCGUAAAAUUGCAGUUGAUACUGGCAGUCUUGAGUGCAGUAGAGGUGGGCGGAAUUCGUGGUGUAGCGGUGAAAUGCUUAGAUAUCACGAAGAACUCCGAUUGCGAAGGCAGCUCACUGGAGUGGUACUGACGCUGAUGCUCGAA